UGUAACCUGGGCACAAAGUGAGGAGCUGAGCUCAGUUUAGGUGCUGGAGGAUCCCACAGAGAUGAAUUAAUCCAUGAGGUUGAUGGUGGUGGGGACAAGCAGUGUCAUUUGCACUAUUAAUGCAGGGCUGGAGGAACAAAUCGAUGGCCAGUGAUGGCUGCCCAGGUUACGUUGUCUUCUCUUUGAUUUAAUCACUGGAUAAUGAGUCCAGAGCUUGAAAAUUCUGCACUGAAACAUUGUGCUGGUCUUUUUGUUGGAUGGCUACUGGUAGAACUUACUGGAGGAUUGCCAAUACUCCUAAUUCCUUGUGCAAAAAAAACGCAAGGGCCAUCUGGAAUCCCACUGAUCUGCCCCAAAUCAACAUCAGCUCCACCUUCUGCACACCUGAUACUUGGGCUGUCUGCUUGAAAGCCACCAGUGAUGGGACACGUGCCCUGUCCCACCCCCAGUUCAUCACUGUCCCUGUCACAAUAAGGAUUUCCUUUAUGUCUGACCUAAAUCUUCCAGGGGACAAUGUAUGCCCAGUAUCAUCACCAUUCUGUAAUGAAUAUUCAUUUUAAUUCUGUAAUGAAUAACAAAGGUCAGUGUUCUUUCACAAGACAGAAGAAGCAGGUCCAUUUAAUAACUGAGGUGACUGGUAUUUUAAAGCAGGGAGAUACUAUAAUUAAUAUCACCAGAGUGGCAACAUGCUAAGGCAACUCCUGGCAACCAAGUGAAAGGGGUUCAAUGAAGUUUUAGUCUCAAGAAGUUAAAAAAAGCUUUGACUGAAGUUAAUGGAAAUUCUGCCUGCGUGAGAGAUGCAGGUGGAGGGGAAAAUCAGCUUAUUUUAAUCAAAGCAAGAAGGAGAAAUCCUCUAAUUUAAAUCAGUCCAAGUGAUUGCAGGUUUAAUUCUUUCCCCUUGAUAGACUCUUCACUCCUCACCUUACAGACCUCUUGAUGUUGGAGAUGCUGGAGUUUGAUUUGUGUGUGUGCUGACCCCUUGAGAGGAUACACCAGAGCCAUCCUCUCCUGGUGGGGUGGCUUUCAUGCUGGAUCUUGUGGUGAAGAGGAUUACAUUGAUACCAUCCCUUUAUGGAAACUGUGAUGGGUGGGGAGAAAGUGUCCUCUCCAUCAGUGCUCUCAGAAAUGACACAGAUGGAGAGGUUUUAACCAGCCAAUUCCAAUGAAUAAGUGGAGGAGAGACCCCAUUUCGUCCUGGCAGUCCUUCUGGAACCCAGGCCAACUCAUUAGCCAGAGAUCUCUGCUUCCCUCAGCAGAACAGCCUGUUCCCCCUGCCCCGUGCCUGGCGUGGUCCUCUUCUGCUCUCCUACCAUCCAGACAGAGCAGAGCUGCUCCAGCCCAAGGAUCAUCUCCGUGGCUCCUCUGGACUCAGCUCACCAGCCUGGGUAACUACCACAGCCAAGCUGAGUGCUGACCUGGAGAAGGGCAGAUGAAGGUUCAGGAGGGGCAGAGAGCAAGAAACAUUGAUUCCUGCCCCAUCCAGCCCCCACUUUCGGUUAUUCACACCUCACUCCUCACCCAAGCAUCCCAGAAGAGACAAACAAAUCAGCCAGAUCAUGCUGAAAACAACCCUGCACCUUCAGCUCUGAUCAACUAAAAGCUCCUUGGCCUGUGAGAGACUGGAGGUUUCCCCACAGAACAGCUGAGAUGCCAUUAAAACAAUGAGAAGCAACCAUGUUGUGCUUUACUUAAAAUGUAGCCAAGAGGGAAAAUACUACUUUGGAUGGUAAGAAGAGAUUGGUUUUAAUUGAAACUCCUUCUCCUCUGAGCUGCUGUUGACACUUGCUUUUCAGUUAACAGUUCCACGGGUUUUCGUUCGGUUCUGCAAGUCAAGGGUAUAAAAUGAGGGGAAAAAAAAAUUCGUAUCAAAUCUGGCUGAUCUUGGAGAAAUUCCAAGGCAUUUAAAUGCAAGUUGGCAUGUUUGUUUCCUGUGGUAUCCUCGACUCAGUGGUCUCCUGGCCAUUUCCAAGGCCCACAAGGUUGCCUUCACAAACCAUUGAAGAAUUGAGGUUGUGAGGGACCUCUGAGGACUCUUAAGUCCAGAGAGGUGGUGGGGACCCCAUCCCUGGAGACAUUCCAGGUCGGGCUUGAUGAGGCUCUGAGCAACCUAUUCUAG